rnacentral:rRNA from 1 species
CCUACGGGAGGCAGCAGUGAGGAAUAUUGGUCAAUGGCCGUAAGGCUGAACCAGCCAAGUCGCGUGCAGGAUGACGGCCCUACGGGUUGUAAACCUCUUUUGUCCGGGGGCAAAGUGCACCACGUGUGGUGCAUUGUAGGUACCCCAUGAAUAAGCACCGGCUAAAUCCGUGCCAGCAGCCGCGGUAAUACGGAGGAUUCGAGCGUUAUCCGGAUUUAUUGGGUUUAAAGGGUGCGUAGGCGGCAGUUCAAGCUCGCCGUGAAAUUGCGGGGCUCAACCACGGAACUGCGGUGCGAACUGGAUCCCUUGAGUGCGCGGAACGUAUGCGGAAUGCGUGGUGUAGCGGUGAAAUGCAUAGAUAUCACGAAGAACUCCGAUUGCGAAGGCAGCAUACCGGCGCGCUACUGACGCUGAUGCACGAAGGCGUGGGUAUCGAACAGGAUUAGAUACCCUAGUAGUC